GCCUGGAAAGCUCAGUUGGUUAGAGCAUGGUGCUGAUAACGCUAAGGUUGCAGGUUCGAUCCCUGUACGGGACA
rnacentral:tRNA from 1 species